ACCCAUAUCUGGGCGUGGAACGAUCGAACAGAGAGGGGAAAGAAAGGGGUGAAACCCUAAUUCAUGAGCAGACCUUCAAAUUGAAAGGGGAAUUGAAGCCUAGUUGAAUGCAUGAACUAAGAAUGAUGAUCCUCUAAGCAUACCCAACAUCAAUAUGAAUGUAUGUUGGAACGUGUCAAGGAGAGGUCAAGCAUAGGAGGAUAACGGGUCAAGAUAAGGCAAGGUGACAAAUACACUUAUUGGAGUACUCGAGGUAAGUGAAUUUCGAUUCACUUUUUAGUAGGUUUAAUAGAUUUUAAUACUUAUGUUUACGAAACAUCAUGAAAGAACAUGUAAUAAUCAGAAGUACAAAGCCAAUAAUGCCUCAUUAUUGAAGAAGGUUGUAUUUAAGCCGAAAGUAAAUUGGUAGGUUUAAACGGGUCGAAUUUUAUGUGCAUAUGUUGCGUAAUGUAAUGAAAUUCGUUAUGGUUAAGACCUUGGGUAAGAAUUUUUAGUCAUUAUGUAAGGGGAACAUUUCCCGGACCAUUAGGAACAAGUUUUAUAUGAUUCGGUUGUCGGUUAGUGAAUGAACGGAUUGUUUCGUGUUAGUGUAGGAAAUUUUAUAAGUAUAUGUGUAUAGGAAUCCAAAGGGCACGUGGGUUGAAUCAUAGAUUGUCUAUACUAUGUAAAGUUGUGAAUGUGACAUUCCGGCAUAAACCUACAUGUAAAAGAAGCUUGUGUAUAUAUUCGUGAUUAAUUGAUUGUGCGUAGGAAGGAACAUUGGCAUGUAUGAAGGUACGCAUGUAUAUAUAUAAGUGUAUAUAUAUAUAUAUAUAUAUGUAUGUAUGUAUGAUAAUAAGUACGUAAGUGUGAAUGUAUGUGUGAAUGAAUGUUCAAUGCUUAAGACAUAUGCAUGAACGUUAUCAAAGUGUUCGAGUAUUUAUGGUUACUAAUGAUGUGCGUUGAGUUGGAAUGUAAUGUAGUUAUGGGAUCGUUGGCUUCAUGAAGAAAUGGAGCUGGAUUUGGAUAAGAGUAUUAAGAAAGCGCUUGGACAAUUCCACGACUACUUUAUAGAAUGCUCUACGAAACUCUAUUAUAUAGUUUAAUGUUGUAUAGUAUGUUAAUGACUAAUGGUUUGGUUGUACGUGGUGUCCACAGGUAUCGCUUGGGUUUUCUCUACAUUUAUUGAAGUGAAGCGGACUUAGUUCGAGUUGAGAGCAAGGAUUGUACGGGGUAGAAUGGUCACAUAGUGUAACUCAUAUAGGUUUUGAAGUAUUAAUGUUAUAAAACGUUAUAAAUCCGUUUUAAUGAAUAUAUGGUAUUUCGCAUUUGAACCUUCAUGUGUUUGAUAUGUCUAUUAAAGAACGAAAUUUUUGG
rnacentral:lncRNA from 1 species